CAUUAAUGAUUUAUAAUGGGAGUUGAUGCUGGUAGCCCUUGGCUGCAGUGUGGCUCGCUCCUAUCAAUCAUAUUCCCAACACCUGUGCACAUUUUUGAGGGGGUCUCCGAGCUGAUUUUGCCAUAUUUUGGUCAUUUGCCGAGUAAUUCCCCUUAAAAUUUAAAUCAUCUAUACUCUACUGAUAAUAUUGAACGUGUUGUCGGAUAAAGGUCCUAAUAAAAAAUUACAACUUUUAACAACGGAUCUCUUGGCUCUCGCAUCGAUGAAGAACGCAGCGAAAUGCGAUAAGUAAUGUGAAUUGCAGAAUUCAGUGAAUCAUCGAAUUUUUGAACGCACCUUGCGCUCCCUGGUAUUCCGGGGAGCACGCCUGUUCGAGUGUCGUGAAAUAUCUCAAGCGGAUGGGUCUUGUCCCUAUCAGUCUUGGUUGUUGGGCUUUGCCAUGUUCUUCAUUGGAAUGGCUGGCCUUAAAAGUAUUAGCUGACCUUCAAGUGGGCAUUGGUUCUACUCAGCGUGAUAAUUAUCUGAUCGCUGAGGAUAUCUUUUGAGAUGGCCAGUUGUCACUUGGGUUUGCUUCUAAUCUAGCUGGGUUUCAUGGACUUUUAAUCUGUGAAUCCAAUUUUUCCGACUUUGACCUCGAAUCAGGUGGGACUACCCGCUGAACUUAAGCAUAUCAAUAAGCGGAGGAAAAGAAACUAACAAGGAUUCCCCUAGUAACGGCGAGUGAAGCGGGAAGAGCUCAAAUUUAAAAUCUGGCAGCCUUUGGUUGUCCGAAUUGUAAUCUAGAGAAGCGUUUUCCGCGCUGGACUGUGUACAAGUUUCCUGGAUACGGAACAUCAUAGAGGGUGAGAAUCCCGUCCUUGACACAGACUCCCAGUGCUUUGUGAUGCGCUCUCGACGAGUCGAGUUGUUUGGGAUUGCAGCUCAAAAUGGGAGGUAAAUUCCUUCUAAAGCUAAAUAUUGGCGAGAGACCGAUAGCGAACAAGUACCGUGAGGGAAAGAUGAAAAGCACUUUGGAAAGAGAGUUAAACAGUACGUGAAAUUGUUAAAAGGGAAACGCUUGAAGUCAGUCGCGUCUGCUUGGACUCAACCUCACUUCGGUUUGGUGCAUUUCCUUGCAGACGGGCCAGCGUUCAUGUUGUUUGCUGGAGAAGGGGUAAGAGAAUGUGGCUCCCUUGGGAGUGUUAUAGCUCUUGCUCGCAUGCGGGAAAUGAUAUGAAGUGGUACAGCACGC
rnacentral:rRNA from 1 species